rnacentral:rRNA from 1 species
UUUACGGGGGGGGAACGGAAGAACCUUACCCAGUUUUGGCAUCCAUAGAACAUUCCAGAGAUUAGGAGGUCCCCUUCGGAGGCAGAGUGCCAGGUGGUGCAUGGUGGUGGUCAGUUGGUGUGGUGAGAUGUGGGGUUAAGUCCCGCAACGAGCCCAACCCUUGCUUUUAGUUGCCAGCAUUCAGUUGGGCACUCUAAGGAGACUGCCGGUGACAAACCGGAGGAAGGUGGGGAUGACGUCAAAUCAUCAUGCCCCUUAUGACUUGGGCUACACACGUGCUACAAUGGCCCAUACAAAGAGCAGCGAACCCGCGAGGGCAAGCCAAUCUCACAAAGUGGGUCGCAGUUCGGAUCGCAGUCUGCAACUCGACUCCGUGAAGUCGGAAUCGCUAGUAAUCGCUGAUCAGCAUGCCGUCGG